rnacentral:rRNA from 1 species
UGCUUGCACCUUUCAAGUGAGUAGGCGAACGGGUGAGUAACACGUGGACAACCUGCCUCAAGGCUGGGGAUAACAUUUGGAAACAGAUGCUAAUACCGAAUAAAACUUAGUGUCGCAUGACACAAAGUUAAAAGGCGCUUCGGCGUCACCUAGAGAUGGAUCCGCGGUGCAUUAGUUAGUUGGUGGGGUAAAGGCCUACCAAGACAAUGAUGCAUAGCCGAGUUGAGAGACUGAUCGGCCACAUUGGGACUGAGACACGGCCCAAACUCCUACGGGAGGCUGCAGUAGGGAAUCUUCCACAAUGGGCGAAAGCCUGAUGGAGCAACGCCGCGUGUGUGAUGAAGGCUUUCGGGUCGUAAAGCACUGUUGUAUGGGAAGAACAGCUAGAAUAGGAAAUGAUUUUAGUUUGACGGUACCAUACCAGAAAGGGACGGCUAAAUACGUGCCAGCAGCCGCGGUAAUACGUAUGUCCCGAGCGUUAUCCGGAUUUAUUGGGCGUAAAGCGAGCGCAGACGGUUUAUUAAGUCUGAUGUGAAAGCCCGGAGCUCAACUCCGGAAUGGCAUUGGAAACUGGUUAACUUGAGUGCAGUAGAGGUAAGUGGAACUCCAUGUGUAGCGGUGGAAUGCGUAGAUAUAUGGAAGAACACCAGUGGCGAAGGCGGCUUACUGGACUGCAACUGACGUUGAGGCUCGAAAGUGUGGGUAGCAAACAGGAUUAGAUACCCUGGUAGUCCACACCGUAAACGAUGAACACUAGGUGUUAGGAGGUUUCCGCCUCUUAGUGCCGAAGCUAACGCAUUAAGUGUUCCGCCUGGGGAGUACGACCGCAAGGUUGAAACUCAAAGGAAUUGACCGGGGGACCCGCACAAGCGGUGGUAGCAUGUGGUUUAAUUCGAAGCA